AUGCAAGUGUUUUGACCAAUCCUGAAGCUGUUGAUGAUCAUGUCUCUAUGGAUCCAAAUAUGUUUUCUGAUUUUGAGGGCAUUGAAGAUGGAGACUUAGUGUUUCAGAGAUGUUUUGAUGAUGAUGAUCUACGAUUCUCUGAUAUUUUCAAAGACUUUGCAAACACCAUUGCGGCAAUUUGAAGAUAUCUCUGCAGUUUUUCAAACUAGGAAAGGAUAAAGAUGAUGAUUGUAUUGGUGAAAAAGCCCAAGUUUGAAGCAUCAGUGGUCAUUCAAAGAGGAUGUGAUAUAUUAUUUCCUCCUCAUCUCCACAUCUAGGGAAGAUCUUCUCCUUACCAAUGUGACGGUAGAAUAGGAUAUGAUAUUAUGCCAAAUACCCUGAUAGACAAUGCCACACAAAAAAUGCUUAAAUUUUUGGGUAGUUUUAAGCUUUCAAACUUAGGCCAAAAGGGGAGUGAUCUCAGGUCCUUGAAAAAGGUGGUCACAAGUUGGGCAAGAAAGAUCCCGCGCGGCCCAAUACACUGACUUAAACUUGUAAUAAUAUGUUCAGAGCAUUCUUUGGCCAACCCCAUCAAGCAGGGCUUGUACUCCUAAUUGUUAUUACUAAAUUUUGGCUUUAAUUUUAUAGAUAUUCUUUUCGUCUUGCAUUUAUUACUUUUAUAAGUUCAAACCACAAAAAUGUCAUUAUCAUAUAUAUAUGAAGAUUAUAUUAGUCUAAAUGGGAAGAUGCUCACCUCAAAAUGGGGAUACUUUAGAAAAAUGAAACACUCGUGUCCUUGUUCUCCUUGUUCGCAAAACUCACAAUGGAGAAUCAUAAACAUAUACGAGGUUGGAUCUUUUAUCUUAUUUGGCAGACAAUAAAAACAUUAAAAAGUUGCAUAAGUAAUAUGUCCAUAAAAAUAUGAAGAAAAAGAUAUGUGAAGAAAAAAAUAAAUGGAUUAAUGGUAAAAGCCUCCUAGGUUUAUUGGGAGAGUAGAGAGAAAGAAGGAAAAUCGGUAUAAAUAAAGAGAAAAAAAAAUGAUGAAGGCUGGAGUUUGGGAAUCGAAAAAGGAGAGAGAAAGAGGAAGGAUAUAGAUAAAGGAAAGAGAGGGUAGUUCGGUCUUUUGACUUUGAUGUUAUGGCAAUUGAAAAAACGGCAAACACAGUAUGACAUAUCUGAUAAGUUUUUGAAUAAUAUGUGGCAUUCUUCUUAAUUUUCUCUAUCAUAAACAUCAAUGAGAUUAUUUCCUAUUCCACCAACAAGAUCCAUCCAAUGCCACUAAUUCAUGUCCGGUCCGUAAACCAUUUAAUUAAUUGGCAAUGAAAUGGAUUGGAUGGGCUUGGCUUAUAUACUCACCACAACAUGUCUAUGGAUAGUCAUACAACGCAUAGCCAUGAGCAAUCCAAAAAGCACUUUGUUUAGGGGGUUAGUUAUUCUUAGGUUUGAGUUUCUUUGUAAUUUGUUUAUAUGUUUUUUUUUGUAUAAUAACUUAUCUAUGUAAUAAAUCUUUUAAUUGAAGUAAGAUGUUAUCAAAUUAAAAGGUCGAAUACACAUCUUAAAUAAGAAAAUGGAGAAAAGUAGCACUCCCAAAAUCGUAGGUUAAUUCAUUGUUGAAGUACGUAAAUAUAAAUCAUGAACUUCUAUAACUGAUAAAUCGUUAGAAAAAGAGAUCAAUGUGAAUGGUGAAGAAGUUGGUGUAUUAGAAAAUGGCUAAGAUAGAAAAUAGUUUUUAUGAAAAUGUGUAAAAGCGGCCCAUUUGUUUUUUUGUUUCGGCCUUUUAAAGUUCGGGGUUUAACCGUAAUUAGCUUUGACCUAGUGUCUUCAAUAUCCUCCAUAUAUAUACAUAUAUUUGUUUGUGUCAAAAUCAUACAAUUUAGAUUCGUAUCAUAGCUUUCAGAAACCUAAAAUACCUACACAAAAAAUUUCUUUUCAAAACCCUCGACUCUUUUUUUAUUUCUUCUUCUUUAGCCGCCAACUUUUCUUUUUUCUUCUCCGAUUUCCCCCUCUUAGUGAAACAAUCACCACUGCCUAUUACGCUAUCUCUCUAAGAGAUCUAGAAUUGGGAAGCUCUCGUGAUGGCCAAAUCUGAAGAGGGCUUGGGGCCAAAGUUUUCUCUUAGAAAGCACAGAUAACGAUUGAACCAAUUUUUAAAGAAGAUCUUAUUCAUAAUUCCUUAGAGACGAUUCAAGAAGAAGUUGAUCUUUUUUCCCAUGUUUUUAUUUUUUUUCAUGAGGAUUGGAAGGGCCUAGAAGAGACAAGCAGUGAUUUCGAAGGUCGAGAGAUAGUAUCUCUAUGUGCUUGAAGAUUUUGGACAACACACUUUUUUGUAGAAAAGAUCAGAUGGGAAGAAACGAUGAGACACACACCACCAAGGAGUUCCACCUACUUAUCUGAGGACUCUGACAACUUUGAUAUUUGCUUUGGAUGCGAUAUUGAUUGUGGACAAAAUAGACUCUUCACUAGUAAGUAUUUAUGAUUAAGAAAUUAAAAAAUCAAUUGAUAUCUGAUCUU